CGAGUGUUAUAUAUUUUAGCUAGCACUACUAAUUUGAUUCAGCAAAAUCAAAGUCAUCACAAUGCAAAAUCUAGAUGAUGGAAAAUCAAGACAGGCGAGCCAAUUAUAACAUACUCUUCACUCCAUAGCUUCAGCUUUUGCCUUCACCAAGGUCUGUUUCUACAUUGGAUUGUUGCUACAUUCAAACCUAACAAGCCAAGGAGCCAAGUGAAGGAUACAAAAGGAGCCAAGUGAAGCUUCCAUAUGUCAUGGAAGCAAUGAUUGAACUGAUGACACCGGACAGGAACAGGCUUGUCAACCCCUUUAACAUCUUCCUCAAUCCUUCAAUUCAACUCAUCAAAGGAUUUAGCUGAUUAUUUGGUUCACUUUCGAGCUGAUAAUAUAGUUAAAGAUGCUGAGUUUAUUAGAGUUCAUCUUGUUCCUAAUGUCCAUCCUUGGACUAUUUUGGGUCAGAGUUUUGGUGGCUUCUGUGCACUUACAUACUUGAGCUUUGAGCCAGAAGGACCGAAACAAACUACUGCUAAU